UACAGAGGUCCCAAGCGUUUGUUCGGAUUCAUUGGGCGUAAAGGGUGCGUAGGCGGCGCGGUAAGUCGGGUGUGAAAUCUCGGAGCUUAACUCCGAAACUGCAUUCGAUACUGCCGUGCUUGAGGACUGGAGAGGAGACUGGAAUUUACGGUGUAGCGGUGAAAUGCGUAGAUAUCAUAAGGAAGACCAGUGGCGAAGGCGGGUCUCUGGACAGUUCCUGACGCUGAGGCACGAAGGCCAGGGGAGCAAACGGG
rnacentral:rRNA from 1 species